rnacentral:ncRNA from 1 species
UGAACAGACAGAGGCGCGUUACAGCAUCAGUACCGCAAAAUGAUAAGCUCUCGGCGGAGCGGUUGUAUUUUGCAGGAAAGGGCUUAACGCCGAAGACGUUAUGUGGGCCGGGCAUAGCGAUCUGGGGGUACGGUUAACAGCCGUGUCACUGUCACCGCCUUGCGGUGUUGCGCUGCUGCGAUC